UGAUGUGUAAUCGCUGGGAGCGGAGCCCAGUGCAUGCCGCUUACAGUAACACAUCUCUGAUAGGAGGCUCGCUCUGCAGGGCCAGCCCAGGCUUUUGCAUUUCAUUUUCCGUUUCCCAGCAGAUGCAGGAGUUUAUCCUCCGCCCCUUGCCUGUAUUGUUUCUGACUGGCUCUUGAUCGCGUUUCCCUCAGCCGGCACAUCGCUCCUUCUCUGUGUUGUUGUGUCAGUGCCAGGCUGCUCCCAGGCUCCCCGCCACGGGGCGUCAGUCUGCAGCAUUUCGAGCUCUCAGGGGCCGGGACACGCUCCUUUCUCCAGGCAGCCGCGAGAAGGAGAGGGAAGAGGAGGGCACGGGACUGGCACAAAGGUCCUGCAGAUGCCAGAAUUCCAAAUUAGUGUCUACUGUGUCACCAUAAAGCCUGAUAUCAACAGAAGAAACAAACAUUGAGAGGUUGCGGAAAACUCUUUACAUUUCACAAGAAUACCCAAGAUACUUAAAAGGUAAAAGUCUUAAUUAAUUGUACACUUACAGUACAUUUACUUUGUGACUUAUCAGUAUCUAUUUAUGUAACUGAAUUGCAUUUAGAAGAAUAAUACGUUUUUGUUAUUUAUCAACAUAUCUUAUGUACACAAUAUAGUGACUUUUAAUUUCUGAUACAGUUAUACCCAUCAAACAUUCUGAACUCCUAGAAAAAGAGAGACCGGGGAUUUAAGUGGGGCAAUGGAGGGGGUUUGCGAAGAAGGACUGUA